rnacentral:rRNA from 1 species
CCCUUAGAUGUUCUGGGCCGCACGCGUGCUACACUGAGUAAUUCAAUGGGUAAGGGAACGCUAGAGCAUUACCUAAUCUUGAAAUUUGCUCGUGAUGUGGAUCGACGGUUGCAAUUUUCCGUCGUGAACGAGGAAUACCUUGUAGGCGCAUGUCAUCAUCAUGCGCCGAAUACGUCCCUGCCCUUUGUACACACCGCCCGUCGCUCCUACCGAUUGAGUGAUCCGGUGAGGCUCUGGGACCUGGACGGAAAGAGCGUUUCGCUUGUUCUGUUUGGGAAACUUGGUCGAACCUUAUCAUUUAGAGGAAGGAGAAGUCGUAACA